GGGCGAUUAACUCAGCUGGUUCAGAGUGCCACCCUUACAAGGUGGAAGUCGCAGGUUCGAAUCCUGCAUCGCCCA
rnacentral:tRNA from 1 species